AAGUAUUACAUUUAAUAAAAAUGAUGAUAGUCAACAAAAUGAACAUACCAAAUCACUAAUUAAUAUAGAAAAUCAAAAUUUUAAUGAUGAACUUGAUAUCAUAAGCAACAAUUUACCACCCACAUCAGAAAAUCAAAAUUUUAAUGAUGAACUUGAUACCAUAAGCAACAAUUUACCACCCACAUCAGAAAAUCAGAAUUUUAAUGAUGAACUUGAUACCAUAAGCAACAAUUUACCACUCACCUCAG